CGAAUCUUUGAACGCACCUUGCGCUCCUCGGUGUUCCGAGGAGCAUGCCUGUUUGAGUGUCA
rnacentral:rRNA from 1 species